rnacentral:rRNA from 1 species
GUGGGGAAUAUUGGACAAUGGGCGAAAGCCUGAUCCAGCCAUGCCGCGUGUGUGAAGAAGGUCUUCGGAUUGUAAAGCACUUUCAGUUGGGAGGAAGGGCAGUAAGUUAAUACCUUGCUGUUUUGACGUUACCGACAGAAUAAGCACCGGCUAACUUCGUGCCAGCAGCCGCGGUAAUACGAAGGGUGCAAGCGUUAAUCGGAAUUACUGGGCGUAAAGCGCGAGUAGUUGGUGUUGUAAGUUGGAGGUGAAAUCCCCGGGCUCAACCUGGGAACUGCCUCCAAAACUGCAUGACUAGAGUACGGUAGAGGGUAGUGGAAUUUCCUGUGUAGCGGUGAAAUGCGUAGAUAUAGGAAGGAACACCAGUGGCGAAGGCGACUACCUGGACUGAUACUGACACUGAGGUGCGAAAGCGUGGGGAGCAAACAGGAUUAGAUACCCUAGUAGUCC